GAACUUUGGGGUGUAGAGUUUUAAUUUUAGGGGUUUACGGAUAUAAUUUUCGAAUUUUAGGGUUUAACUUUGGCUAAACUUUUGGACUUAAAAUUUUACAGUGUAUUACAUAAUAAGACAUUUUAUUACAGAAGCUUAACAUAAAGUUUAAACUAGAAAUACAUAACCGAUAAUAUAGUACAUUGUUUUGGACUAUAUGGACUAUAAGUCUUAACUAGAAUUACGAAAACUUAGACAUUUUUUUCACACGAACUUGAGUUUUUCAUUUGGCCAUGCCACAACUGAAACUAUUGCAUCAGAUAUGAUUCAAUCUUUCAAUUUGGCCUCCAGACCUUUGCAUUACCAAUCUUAGCCACUUCAACCCAAAAGUUGCUUGCAUUUGGACCUAGGGGUACAAAGUGGCACCACUCAUUCGGAUCCAUCGAAGCUACUCUUCCUUCAGCUACCUUACGUCCAAAGUUGUUGCAAUCUAAGAAAAUACACUUCUGCCUUCGACUUUUGGUCGAACUAGUGCUGCAUGGACUCUACAACUCAACGCAGAUAAUAGAAGCAAAUUUCCAACAUCAAUGAAAGAUCCAACAUCAACAACAGACAAACAAAUAAAAUAACUUCAUUUCAAUUACAUACCACUGCUUUUUUCUUGGCUAAUUUCGAAGGUGAUGCUAUUUUCUUGGCUGCAGAUUUAGUAGGUGUUGCAUCUGUAACGGUAGUUGCCAUGACUUC
rnacentral:lncRNA from 1 species